rnacentral:rRNA from 1 species
GUCGCAAGACCGCGAGGUUUAGCAAAUCUCUUAAAGCCGUUCUCAGUUCGGAUUGUAGGCUGCAACUCGCCUACAUGAAGUCGGAAUCGCUAGUAAUCGCGGAUCAGCAUGCCGCGGUGAAUACGUUCCCGGGCCUUGUACACACCGCCCGUCACACCAUGAGAGUUUGUAACACCCAAAGCCGGUGGGGUAACCUUUUGGAGCCAGCCGUCUAAGGUGGGACAGAUGAUUAGGGUGAAGUCGUAACAAGGUACC